rnacentral:rRNA from 1 species
GACGGAGGAUGCAAGUGUUAUCCGGAAUCACUGGGCGUAAAGCGUCUGUAGGUGGUUUAGUAAGUCGACUGUUAAAUCUUGAGGCUCAACCUCAAAAUCGCAGUCGAAACUAUUAGGCUAGAGUAUAGUAGGGGUAAAGGGAAUUUCCAGUGGAGCGGUGAAAUGCGUAGAGAUUGGAAAGAACACCGAUGGCGAAGGCACUUUACUGGGCUAUUACUAACACUCAGAGACGAAAGCUAGGGUAGCAAAUGGG